GGCACGGCUAGGGCGAGGGGCUCGGGGUCCCUCCCGGAGCCCCUGUAGGGGUUCCGGCCGCAAAUCCCCGAUACGGCGGGCCCGAAAAUCCCCGGAGGGGGGAGUUAAAACCCGCCCCUAGAUUCCGAGCCGAGACAAUGACUCCCCGCCUCCCGGGGACAGGGGCGUGCCCAUAGUUACCCGCUGGAAGGCGGGUAGCUAUGGGCCCGAUUUAUGGCGGCGGGGAAUCGGCGUAGGCCCGGAAGGGAGCGCGCCUAACCCGGCGCCUCUGUGCUCCGGGAUAUCGCGGGGAGGAGUUAAGGCUCGGAAUUGUGGGGGCGGGAGGCUUCCCCACCGGGGACUGCCGUGCC
rnacentral:SRP_RNA from 1 species